UAGGGAAUCUUCGGCAAUGGACGAAAGUCUGACCGAGCAACGCCGCGUGAGUGAAGAAGGUUUUCGGAUCGUAAAACUCUGUUGUUAGAGAAGAACAAGGACGUUAGUAACUGAACGUCCCCUGACGGUAUCUAACCAGAAAGACACGGCUAACUACGUGCCAGCAGCCGCGGUAAUACGUAGGUGGCAAGCGUUGUCCGGAUUUAUUGGGCGUAAAGCGAGCGCAGGCGGUUUCUUAAGUCGGAUGUGAAAGCCCCCGGCUCAACCGGGGAGGGUCAUUGGAAACUGGGUGGCUUGAGUGCAGAAGAGGAGAGUGGAAUUCCAUGUGUAGCGGUGAAAUGCGUAGAUAUAUGGAGGAACACCAGUGGCGAAGGCGGCUCUCUGGUCUGUAACGGACGCUGAGGCUCGAAAGCGUGGGGAGCAAACAGG
rnacentral:rRNA from 1 species